rnacentral:lncRNA from 1 species
UCAGCGACUCGCGGCGGGCGCGUGGCGGGCGGGGCCGGUCUGGCUCGGUCGGUUCGCGCGGGACGGGGCUGGUUCGGCCCAAUUCGGCCGGGCCGGUCCGGUUUUCCCCUUUUUCUUCCUUUUCUUUUUCCUUUUCUUUUUGUCCUUUGUAUCUUUUGAUUUUCAACUCUAAAUUGGUCCAAAUAAAUUCCAGAAAAUUUGUAAAAUCAUGUUUUAUCAUGAUUCAAAUUUUGGGAGUAAUUUUCCCUCAAAAUAAAAUAUAUAAAAAUACAUUUGCCCUAUAAAUGCCUUU